rnacentral:rRNA from 1 species
UACGUAGGCAGCGAGCGUUGUUCGGAGUUACUGGGCGUAAAGGGCGCGUAGGCGGCCCGCUAAGUCGAACGUGAAAUCCCCGAGCUCAACUCGGGAACUGCGUCCGAUACUGGCGGGCUUGAAUCCGGGAGAGGGAUGCGGAAUUCCAGGUGUAGCGGUGAAAUGCGUAGAUAUCUGGAGGAACACCGGUGGCGAAGGCGGCAUCCUGGACCGGCAUUGACGCUGAGGCGCGAAAGCUAGGGGGAGCAAACAGG